GACUUUAAAUCUAUGCUGAGUAAUUGCUGCAGUUUUGGUAUUUUCAUAUACAGUAGAUGCAAUUGCCGCAGAAAGUAUUUAGAUACUUCAGGGACACGUUAAUGUUUUUUAUUGCAUUGCAUAAUAAAAAUAUCAAAGCAACUGUCACUUAUUCUAAAGAAAAGGGGCAAACAUAUAUAUAUUACAUAUAAUAUUUACUUUGUAUAAAUUACGUUUGUUUGAAUUGAUAUAACAUAUAUGUGAAAGCUUCUAUUCAUCUGUGGACGACACACGUCAUUUGUCAACGCACUUCCUGUGUAAGCGUGAAGGAAGUGUUUGUGUGACGGUUGUGGGUUUGCAUAGUUUUAUCCCUCAUAUCUUUGUGCACUCUUGUCUUGUAUAUUGAACUUAUUUCCCCAUUUAAUGGAUCUGCUAGCCUAGCAUUUGGAUUUGAUAGUGAUUUUAACAUUUUUAUAACAUUUUGGUCUUUAGAUCCAGUAUCUCAUGUAAAGCUGGGUGUGCUGUAAAACUGCAAGCACAUGUUGAACAAAUGGAGGAACUCUGGUUUCACAAGCAUGUGUCAAGUGUGGAGGAAAGGAAGAAAGGAAGAAUUAACUGCUGUGCGAUGCAGUUGGUCCUACCUUUUGGACUUAGUUGCAGUCUGCUAUAAGAUAUUUGGUGCUUUCCAGUCCAGCAUUCUCAUCAUGCAACCUGCUGUAACAGGAGGAAGUUAUCUGAAUGUGACGUGCCUAUAACUUCUCAUGUUAUUCUUCUGCUACACAGUGGUAUAAACAACCUGUGACGUCUCCGGAAAGUGAAAGUGUUUAAUAUCUCUGAUUCAGGGGAUGUUUGGUGGUUUUGAUAGCUGUCACUUAGUUACAUCUGAAAUUGCAGACAAACAACAAAUGGUAACAGUUUUUGUUGUCAGUAAUUUAAUUACAUUAAUGGUUGUGAACUUGGCAGACACUGUUACCCAAAUGAAAAAAACAUGCAAUUAAGGUAUAAGUGUUCUCUAAGAAUUGGAUCCCCGGCCUUGUCCUGAUUAGUUCCAUGCUCUAGCUAGGGGACAUAAACAUAAUUUAUCUUUUACUAUAUUGUGCAUCUUGCUCAAAACAAGUUUGUUGUCAUCACCAAACCAAAAAGAACCAUAGAGAGCAAAAUCUUGGUGAAUGUUCUUCACAAGCUCAAUUGUCUUUCUGUAAAUCUUUCCUGAUAACAAACCCAAACUUUGAAUUUAAAAGGGGAUGAAAAUUGGGACAAGUUCAUAGUGUAAAUGCACUUGGCAUGUUUUAGUUCCUCUCAUAUGUCAGUCUUGCCUUUCCUUUCUUGUUGUAAGUCACAUCAAAUGAUCCAAUCUGUUAACCAAUAAAAUGUUCAUAUAAUCUGAUUCUGUCUGAACC
ensembl:lncRNA